CCUUGGGGUCCAUUCCAACCCAAGCCAUUCUAUGAUUUUUCACACUUAUGCUCUGAAUUAAUAAUAGUUUAAAUUUAGUUUACAAUAGAUAGAAAGAAGGAGAGUCAGAUUUCACUGGCAUCUCUGAUUGUUGGCUGCUAAAUAGGCGUAAUUGUGUAUUAGUAUGUAGGACACUGCUCAAAUAGCCAUUUGCUGUGGUAGGUCUUAGGUGAGAAAGAAGAGGGAAGGAAUAUGCAUUGCAUAAAUGCGUGCUGGGGAAUGGGCAGGGGAAGAAGACAUGGAACAGUUGUCUGUAGUGGGAAUUUUAACAUUGAUUCUCUCUCUUGACCUUCCUUUUAAAGUCUCAUACUUUGUCAGUAAUACCUUCUGCUGCUUAUGAAGUUGCAGCUAGAUUCAUCAUAUGUUAAUGUAAUUUUUUGGCUUUAAUUGGUAUUAUGAAAGCUAAAGCAGCUCUUUGCAGAGCUCAGAAACCUAUGCACCCCAUUUUAUGAUCCCUUUCCAUAGAGGACGGGGUUGUUGUGUUUGAAAUGCUUGCUCUUUGACAGUGCAACACUGCUAGCAUGCAUGCUGCUGGAGGGGUGGUGAAGUGCUUCUUUUGCAGUGGUGGAGUAUUGCUCCCUCCACCUUCCUCUUCUCCCCUCCUUCCCCAGCCCUUUUCCUCCACUUGAGAGACAGGAUCCAUCCUCCUCCUUGUUUUGUUGAAUUCAGAAUGUGCUUCACUGCUUUUUUUUUUUUUGGUAACAAUCUGCAGAAAGAUGAAAACAAAUUUUUACUUGCUCGUGGUGGUGAGAGACGAUCAAUAUUUUGUUAGUGCUUUUGUUUUUGCUAACACACCCUUCUUUUCAGUCUACGUAUUUUCAACGUACAAGAAGAGGGGAAAAACUGAAUCAAAAUGUUGAGUCAUAAUAUCAAGAUACAUUGCUUGAAAACCAGAUUUCUUCUCAGUGCAGGCUUGAGUAUGCCGUGUUUCUGAAAGCUACAUUCAGUUCAUGUCAUAAAGGCUGUUUUAAUGCUGUGUUGUAACUUACCACUUAUUUCUCACCAAAAUACUUCCUACAGCUCCUCUUCAACAAAAUUACACAGUUGCCUAUGCAAGUACCAUUUAAAAGGCUUUUUAUUGGGUGCUGUGUGUGAGUCUUCUGUCCUGCAGACUGCUGGAAUACGUGUGCAUGCUGUGUUUUAGGAAAUAGAGUGCAAAAAUUUGACUGGUAGAAGGCAAUUCCCUGAUGACUUUGGGGGCUGGGGGAAGACUAGAGCUCAGACAAGCAGAGUGCAGUUUCCUUUAAGCUGGCUGUGUCAAGCUUUGUCACGUGCACUGUGCUUUCCUUUUUGCAUUUUUGGCAAACUAGAAGAUGGAGUUUUAUUUUAGUAACACUUUAAGAGUCUGUAGGAUUAGAUCUGAUACAAACUUUCUUUUAUGCAGAAAUAAUUGCAUCAUGCAAUACUUGAGAUUUUGGGUUUUACUUGCUAGCUAGGAAGCCCUUCAGCUGAAAAUAAACUACUUUGUUCGUGUGUACCAUACAGCUAAAAUCUAAUAUCUUCAGUGCAGACCUUUUCCCACCCUGGUGCAGACUAAUUUUAGAAUCUUGCCUUAAAAAGAAAACGUGAUGGAAGGAAGGGAGUCUUGCUGGUCUUUUAUAGGAGAACUGACCUUAAGAACUUAGAGGCAGAAGCAUUUUAUUAAACUUAACAGCUAGUUUGGGGAAACACCGAUUUUCUUUCUUUUUUUUUUAAUCUUUUUGUACAAAAGAAAGAAGUGAUCAGACAAGUAAUUUUAUGCUAAAAAUGAACUUCGUCAAGAUUUUUUUGCUGUAUGUGGUUGUCAAACUUACUUUCAAAAUAAGCUUUGCACGUCGUAUGUCUUACUCAUAUACAGAGGUGUUUGGUUAAGAUUGAAAUGAUGUUUUAUUAUCAAAAUGGCUGAUAGUCUCUACGUAUUUGCCUGAGUGUGUGGGAAGCUCUUCUUAUCUGUCCCGGAUUGUAUUUUUUUUUUUGUCAACGAAGUCUUAAAUCAAGAAAGGAGGAUCCUGUGAGAUUCGGGGUGUGGUUAAACAUCUCCAGCCCAGGUCAGUCAGUGGGGUAAGUUUCUGUUUUGGUAUGGACGUUUGGUGUUUGUUUUCCAUGUUCUGUAUGAUUCUGUGAAAGCAGUGAGCCUGGCCAAGGAACAGAUCUUUGUGUUCAUCUCUGCUUUAUCACUGUACGUGACUUGACACUGUUUUUCUUUCUUUCACGCAACCUAAAACAAGUGCUAAUACUUCAACAGAUACAGAAUGACAGUCAGACAUUGCACACUGGUAUGCCUGUGAAGAAGCACUGGCAAAGUUAAUGGUGUCUAGUGCAAAAGCUGGGAGUUGUGGCUGAUGAAAGGUAGGUGUGAAGGUGUUUGCAUGAAGAAAAGACAGGGGAUAUCAGUGAAAACACAACUCUACUGAAGCAGAGACAAUAUGUUUCAGGUUUCCUUUAUUUCAGCUGAACUAUGUGAGUUUUAUUAUGAAGCAUGUGGUGGUCUUACUUCAAGUAAUGUUUAGAGAGAAUGAGACAGUUUUAACUUAAUAUUAAGAUAUGGGUGAAUUUUGGGCACUGGUCUAGUAAGGAAAGUAAUCAUCAGCAAACCUUUAGAAAGUGUGUUUUUGUGUGGUGGUAGCAGUACAAGAUAAUCAAGAACACAUUUUCCAUGUACUGCUAGCACUUGCUAGGGGGAAAAAAAAAAAAAGUAAUAUAGCUGUAAUCUAAGUCAGAAUUGCCAUGGGACAUUUUGGUUGAAUUUUGACCCGAAUGGCCAGACUUCCCAUUGUGGAAGUGUUACGGUAUGCUUGCGCAUUGUUUGCAAGUAAGGACUCGAAAUUGGUGUCUGUCUCCACUGUCCCUAGCUCAUGUUAGACAAAAAAUAAGCCGUAGUUACAUCACACUGCUGCUCAGUACUGGAGAGCUAACACAGCUUACAAUAGCAUUUGGCCUCAGGUUGUGCCUCAGCAGUACAAUUGUUUGUAGGACACUCAGUCCAGUUUUGGCUGUAGAGUUCUUAUAGCUGCUAAAAAAAGAGAAGAUCAAACCUGCUGAUCAGAUUGUGCUGUGUUUAUAAGGUCAAGAGUUAGGAACAUCUAACAGAAAAAGAUGUAGCAAUUAAUAUUUGAUAUGGAAAGUAACAUAGUAAGGAUUCGGUUCUGAAGUAGGUCCUUUGAACACUUUUCAUUGUAGAACUUCUUAAAACUGAGGACUUCAUAUUAAAAAUAAAUAAAAGAAAGCAAAUUACUUACUUAGCUUUCAUUUUUUUUCCAGUGCAUCCAUGUUGCCAUUUACUAACAUUAACCCAUUAAGUUUCAGUAUGUAUUUGAGUAAAUACUUGUGUGAAAGGAAUUUCAUUUUUGCUGUAUUGGAGUUCUCCAGAGACCAGGGGAGAGUUGUGAAGAGCAGCAAGGGUCAAAACAUACAGAAAAAGCCUUGAGCCAUUUUCAACUGAAAAUUCAGUUUGGGGAAAAGUAAAAAUCCAAACCAGCAAAUAAUCAGUCUAAAACCAGCACCAGGGUUCAGUCUGGUGUGGCUAUUGAACAGUACUGGGGUCUUUCCUCUUCACAUUGAUUGCAUGUAGUAUUUCAGCUUCCAAGUCUCACAGGAAUGCUUCUCUGGCCGGUCUUUCACCCAGCCCAGAAGUUAUGUGAAGACUGAAAACUAAGGAAAAGAAUGCUCUAAAAUAAUUGUGCAGCAUAUUUAUAUAAGUUUGUAGCAUUUAAAUUGAAACAAAUCAACUAACCCAUGUAUUUAGUGCUGAAAAGGAAAACACAAAGAUAAUAUUAAGAUAUAUUUUGUAUCAUUUCUUCAAAUAAAUUCAAGGUAUGUAGUUCCUAGAUUACUGUAAUCUGUAUCACUAUAGUUAGCUUUCUUAUUCUUGCAACGUAAAGGAUUUUUUUUUAAAUGGAAAUAUUUAUAUCAGUGUUUAACAAAUGCUCAUUUUAAUUUUGCAAAAUGGAUGCAUUUGUUAAAGGAAAUGAUUUUUACCAAGUACUAUUUUUCUGCAAUCAACCAAUCAUUAGGUUUUCCUGCUCUUAUAUGUGCUGGAAGAAAUGCAGGGAGCAUUUCUCAAAUGUGUGGUGUUUUGACAGCUGUAUGCAAUUUUGGAAUUCUGUCACGCUGAAUUUGGAGAAGCCACAGCUUAUUACUGCUCUUAAAAUGGAAACAGGAAAGGUCUUUCAGUGAAUGUCACCUGUGUGGAUCUCAAAUAGGUCAGAACCCCUUUGGUGAUAACCUAGGCAGUACUGUGGCCCUUAGUGGUGUGUAGUAUGCUGUUAAAGAAGUUAAACACGAAGUAUUUCUGGAAGAAAGCCAAAUACUAUAAAAGAAACUAAAAUUUUGCAAGUCAGGAUUCCUGUAAUUCCAGUUGCCUGCAGGUUUAGCUUUUAAUGAUGGGUUGCAUGAUAAUUUUUUUUAAAAUCAACACUUUGAUAAAUUAUUUUUGCCGACUUCUCUCUUUACUGAGGCUUGAUAGCAAUGUUUCCUGGUGCAAUUGUAAUCUUCAGUGACAUCUUCCUUUCUGUCCCCUCAGUUUCCCCCUCCCAUUCUCCCAAACUGAAAUUCAGCAGGAAGCUUUGGGAAAGCAGUCUCUUUUGUUUUCCUCAGUGUCGCGCUUGAAAUUUAAACAGAUAACACCAGUGAUGUAAAGCUGCUGUUUCAGUAUCCAUGUCAUGUUGGUGCUGUUUACCAGAGAAAGGUACUUUGCUAAAAUUUGUUGUUGUAAUGUUCAUUUUGUAUAACAGUUCAACCAGAUGUUGGUGCGUAGAUCCUGCAGCGGGUUUGCAGCCUGUUUUUAGAGAUAGGACCAAGCCAAUGAAUAGCAACAGAGCAGUGAUGACUCCUCCACCAAGAAGGCUCUGUUUUUGCAGCUGCAAGUAUUCCAUGUGACCAGCACCACUUCAAAUUUAAAACAUUUGCAUGAUAAUAAAUAUAAAACUUGUAUACAUCUUGUUUCAGGACUGAGAAGUAGUUGUUUGAGAUGCAAGUAUCUUGAGUAAGAUAAGGCAGCUUGCUUAUUCCAUUCCAUGCUCUUUCACUUAGGUCUUGGAGUUGUUGAAGCUGCAGUGUUACAACAAAAAAAUGUGUUGCUGUUUCUGUUCUGUACCACCUAACAAAUGCGUGGAUUUAGUGUUCCCUGUGUUACCUUGGGGUCUCUAUCAACAAUUAGGUCACUGUGGAAAGGCAGAGACCCUGCAAAGAUUCCUUUCUUCCUUCAGAGAAGAUGGAAACAUUUAUUGUAACUGCAUUCUGUAUGCUUACAAGCGAGGACAUGAGGGCCUUUCCCGACUUCAUCUUCUGGAGAUUAUCUGCAUAAGUUGUUCCUGUGUCAUCUCAGCCAGAAUUUUGCCUUUUCCGAGAAGGAUCCCAUCACUUGAGGUUGAUCAGUAAACAACAGACUGAGAAGAGCCAUGUCUGUUCAGCUCCUUAUUCUGGCCUAAUAUCCCAUUUCUUUAGCAGAAAUCAAUUAUGAUUGCUGAGGCAGCAAAAAACCUCUCCCAGAAUUCCCCUAACGGGGGGGUUCACGUGUUUUUUGGAUGAUCUGUUCUAGAUUUGUUCUGCUCUUCUAAAUCUUAGAAGAACUAAGGAGCAUUUAUUAGCAUUUAUCUCUUCAAAAUGCAGAGUGAUGCAGUGGUUCUGGCCUGAAGUUUGUAUUUGUACAGAAAUCAGGCUGGUAUUUUUCAAAGCUACAUCACAAACAUGACCAAUCUUUAGAGUUCAGUGCAAGUCUACAUGGAAAGAAAAAUAUGCAAAAAGAUAAAAAGUGAAAACAAAAGGUUGGCCCUUUUUAGAAAAAAGAGGUACUAUGACCUUGAUGCAAGGCAGGAGCUUACAAACAAGUUAUUCCUAACAGCACAAUUCAGGAUGAUCUCCCAGAAACUGUUCUGCUGCUUAUCUAUUUUCAUGAGGAAAACAGCAGUGCACGGUGUUCUCGUGGAUGCCUCUUUUCCUUAAGUUUUAUGUUGGAUCUUUGUAUCCUCUCCUGAACUACUGCAUGGAUUGAAUUAGAUGAAGUAGUCUCCUCUGCACCCCUGAAGCAUGAGUACAUAAUUUCAUAGUAGAUUGUAUACCAAAGGUUUUCUGGAGUCGUCUUUUCCCAGUGAAUGAGAUCUUUUAUUAUAGAGGAUCCUUCAAAGGCAGCCUUUUGAUCAUACUGGGACAUGGACAGAUUCCUGUUUCAAGCAGCCUACACAAAGCUGGGUCACGCUACUUCAUUUGACUUGUCUCUGGUAUCUUCUGUUUCUUUGAGCUGGAAAGGAAUCUUGACUUAAGAGUAUUACUAGUGUUUCCAACUUUGACACCUAUCAUUUGAAAUUAAGCCUGUAAUGCUGUAUAUGGCAUUGUGCUUGCACCAAGUGUGUUGGCAAGUAGUAAGUGUUAGCAACUUGAAAAGUUACUGAGUCAAGGUAUUUGCAACCUAAGAAGAAAGAAUCUUAUAAUUUACUAUUUCAUCUGGGAGGAAAAUUGUAUUGUCCUGCUGUUUUUUCAGUCAGAGAGUAGAUAGCAGUAGAAAUUCUUUCUUUGAGCACAUCCUGUGGAUUAUAUUUUUCUCUCUUGUUUUUAUCUUGUACCACCUGCCUUACUAGAAGAAGAGCAUAAAUAUAAUCCUAGGGACAUCUAAUGGCGGAUUACAUUUAUGUUUUGGUCAGUUACUCUUCUCUGCAGACAAACUCUGUCACAGAAACGUGCAUGUGGAAUGAGAAGACUGAACCCAACUCUCUAACCUUUUGAAAGCUGAUCUUAAUAGAAAAGUCAGCAUCUUGUCAAAUUGAAAGAUGUAGGAACACAUGGUCUCAUGUUAAAAUGGAAAUUGCUAAGCAGAUGUCGUGGAAUUCUACUAAAGGAUAAUUAAUCCUACCUUUUUUUUUUUUUUCUUAUGAAAUAGUCUAUCUAGAGCAAAAACUUUAGCCUUAAAUUGGGAUAAUAUCACCAUGUUUGUUGUCCUUGGAGGAAUCAAGAGGCAGAAUAUCUUUCUGUGUGCCCAAGUAGUAUAUUUGGAACUAAUUUACUGAUUCUUAUUUUUUUUUUGUAAUUAGUGUGGGAUAUCAGAUUCUGUUAGUGUCUCACAUCUCACAUGAUGCAUUCCUGUUUACUACUCUAACUGCAAAAGCUUAAAGAUGCCUUUUUGAGAAUAUAUUAUUGAAGAGAUUUGAAUCACAAAACCUGUCUUUUGUUCCAACUUCUUUUUAUAUUAUUUGUAGAAUGAAGACUUGUUUUUUGAGGAUGGGAGGGCACUUUGGGUAUCUAACUAUACAAAAUGUUUUGGUUAGUUAUAUAGUCUGAAAGAGAGAAUGAGGGGAGGAAAAAAAAAAAGCACGGUAAACCUUCCCCAAGAUGAAUGAUAAUUGAAAUUGCAGCAAACAUGAGUAGAUUGCCUUCUUUAACUAUUGGAUCACAUUUUACCUGGUGUUAUGCAAGUGCUGCAGAUAAAACAGUAGAUGUGCAGCUCAACAAUUAUCCUGUAUACAAAUACCGGACACUACUGCUGUUGUAUGAAGGCUUAUUGCAAUGAGUAAUAACCAGUAAACAAAUAUGAAGCUAUACAUGCAGUUGUCUUAAGUCCUGCCACUUCCACUUCUCUACUAUUCUAUUGCUCAUUGGCUCCAUACUACUGGUAAAAUUUCACUCAAGUCUUAUCAGUUUUCAGGAUUUGUGAAGAGGAAAAUUUCUGCUUUUAUUCAUUAAUAUUUUGUAUAUAAAAGUUAACUCCUAGGGCAGCUAGAUUCUCAGAAAGAAGGGAAUAUCCUACAAAUUGAGAAGCUCAUUGAGAAAUUGGGUUUCUCAGCUUCUACAGCAAUAUCGUGAAGUACCUACGUUGAGUAGAGAAGUUGAGAUUGGAAUAAGGCCUUUUACAGAGGAGCUGGAAGUAGGGUUAGGAAAAGGGAAACAUCCAGGUAAGUAUGGUUGUUUCUUAAAGAGCCUUCUGUCUGCGAUCGCGGGGAGGUGUUCACUACAUUGCGGUAGAUGCCAUUUUUAAUUUUCUUGAGAGAACAGAGAAAUUUGGAAAUUUUUUCCCAGAAAUAAUCUCAUAAAUUUUUUUGCCCACCUUCCAUCUUCUUGUAACAAAGGAGAGAACUUUCUGGACAAAAAAAUCUUAUUGAUCUCAUCUAUUGGUAGAUGUCUUAACAGUCUUGAAAGUUCACAGUUCGGCUUUGGGGUGGGGUUGUUUUUUGGCAUCAGAGCAUGAAAAAUCUGCAUGUCUAGUCCUCAUCUCUUGUCAUCCUUCCCUAUUGCAGUGACUCUGUGUAUGUCUCUGUGUGGCCAAGAAUGAGGGAAUGCAGGUCAUUAUUCAAGAAGUUACCAACUAGCACUUUUCCUUCCCCUCCAGUCUUUCUGCCUCCCUAUCCUGGAAGUAUGGAGUCCCUGCCUCAGCCUACGGCUUCAUUCUUUUUCCAGCUGCCCACAAAAGUAAAGAACCAGUGUGAAAGUUUGAAGAAAGAAACCACUCAGAGGACUGAGUUUCAAGCAAAAGCUCCAGGUUGCAGACUCAGAAAGAAACUUCCUUUGGGGAAGGAUCUGCUUCCAGGAUUUGCUCGUCUCUUUUUCCUUGGGCAAACAGAGUUCUUGAAGCAAACAACAGGGUUGCAGGACACCUUGUAACCUUUAUACUGCUUCACAAGCCUUCGGCAGAAGAUUGAGAGCCAUUUAUGUUGCUGGAAGAUGACUGGGUUUGGAUCUUGGCCUUCCUUAAGCAGGAUCUCCUGACAAAAAUGGGAUUGGGAAAGAAAUGACUCCUUUUUCCAUCAUACAGAGCCACCCUAGAAAUGGAAGCGUAGGCAGAACGUUCCUUCUAACGCGUGAUUCUUUAGGGUGUGUGUUUGGCUUCCCAUGGUCCUUUUGAUACGACGUCAUAAAGAUGUUUUAUAAAAACCUAAACCUGGCAUCUUGCUAUCUGAUGAAGAUCAAACCAGUAAAUCCAGCCUGAGGAGUUUACAGGUCUCAUAACGUGAUGAGGUCUUGCUAACUUCUGUAUAGGAGAUGCCAUGUGAAACUGGGUUCUGCUGUGGUUCGGAUUGAUAUGUUUGUAAAGCCUUUUCUACUUACAGUCUAUUUAAAUGAUUGCAAAGCAUAUUGAUGAGGAUUCUUACGGAAAUGGUAUUUAAUUAGGCUUCUACCUCUUCAAUUUUAUUAAA